rnacentral:rRNA from 1 species
CCCUCCUUAGUGAGAGAGUUGCCACUGGAUCCCAUAAGAACUCUAGAGUUAAGCAUGCUUGAGUGGAAGUAGUCCUAGAUGGGUGACCUCCUUGGGAAGCUUGGGUACAUGGGGACCUCACUAUGCCAAGAUG